rnacentral:rRNA from 1 species
GGGCGAAAGCCUGAUGCAGCCAUGCCGCGUGUGUGAAGAAGGCCUUCGGGUUGUAAAGCACUUUCAGCGAGGAGGAAAGGUUAGUGGUUAAUACCCGCUAGCUGUGACGUUACUCGCAGAAGAAGCACCGGCUAACUCCGUGCCAGCAGCCGCGGUAAUACGGAGGGUGCGAGCGUUAAUCGGAAUUACUGGGCGUAAAGCGCAUGCAGGCGGCCAAGUCAGUCAGAUGUGAAAGCCCCGGGCUUAACCUGGGAAUUGCAUUUGAUACUGCUUGGCUAGAGUCCUUGAGAGGGGGGUAGAAUUUCAGGUGUAGCGGUGAAAUGCGUAGAGAUCUGAAGGAAUACCAGUGGCGAAGGCGGCCCCCUGGCAAGAGACUGACGCUCAGAUGCGAAAGCGUGGGGAGCAAACAGGAUUAGAUACCCUGGUAGUCCACGCCGUAAACGAUGUCUAUUAGGAGUCUGUGCCCUUGAGGCGUGGGUUCCAAAGCUAACGCAUUAAAUAGACCGCCUGG